CUAUCUGUCUAACCGCUUCGCUCAGAGUUUCUACAACGUGUCUUUGCUACGUGCAACCUCGUGCUUGAACCGCUUCGCUUAUUAACUUGUGUGAAACUAAAUCAAAUCGCUACGCUAAAUUAUCCUCAAUUCUUAGUCAGUAAAUCAAGGCUGCUAUUUAUUGAGAAUAAAUAAAUUAUUCUUGUGAUAAUAAGUUAAUUGUUAAUUAAUUAUUAUUGAAGUAACCGCUACUGACCACGUGUCAAUUUUUAUACGUGAAUAAAAUAUCUGAGUUGCAUUCGCUAUCGCGUAUAAAUUUAUCUAGUUGCAUUCGCUAUUGUAUAUAUUUCUCAUAAUUUUAAGGUGUAAAUCAGUGUAAAUAAAUCUAUAAUUUAAUUUAUAAUAAAAUCUGUGUAAUUUUUAAUUGUUUAACAAAACUCGCCUAAACCAGAUCCAUUAGUUUUAUUCGCUCAUUUUACAUUUUGGUCCUUCGAGCCGGAUCUGGCGAAAUUUAAACAAUUAAAAAAUUAUUUUAAAUUAAAAAUAAAAAAAAAUUGUGAGAAAAAAAAAAGUGUAGUGUCAGUUCUGUGUCGUGAAAAUCGCUAAGUGCCGUGGGCAUUGCUGAGCACUGCUAGAGUGCUGCCCAGGGUGAUCUAUUUUACACACCGGUGUAAAAAGACUUUUAAAAUAGAAAAGAUCGAAAACUUAGCGUCGGUUUCACGUCAUCGCGUCCAUUUUGUGUGCCACGUAUUAACAAGAUGGCCGCCGAAGCUCAAAUCGCUUUUCAAAUGCAACGCAUCGACACGAUGCGCAAUAUGUCCAACCGCUUGACUGACGCUGUACUCGCUACCCAAGGUGCCGCCGCCAUUGAUGCUGAACUCGCCAUCCUGACGGAGUUGUGGAACCGCUUCAAUUCGACUCACAAGAGGCUAACCGAAGGACGAUUGUUCAGCAUUACCGCUUAUGCUUUAACUGUUUGGGACGCCAUCGCUACGCUGACUGCAGGACUAAGCAGAAGUGCCGCCAUUGUGAUCAGCCACAUCACACGUCGACUCAUCUUGACGAUGGUGCUGCCGCUAAACCAGCACAGGACGCUCCUGUAGCUGACCCAGGUAACAAAUAGUUCCAAUUUUUAAAAUUUAGUUCCUGAUUAUGUUCAGUAAAAUAAGUGUAUUGAGGCAGAAAUCAAUGUCAGGGAUCAAAAUCAAGAUUUAAAUAAGUUUUGACUCAUGUAAGAAACAAUAAAAUAUGAAAUAUUCGAUAAAAAUAUUAAAAACUACGUUUUAUCGAUUUUUUUGUUGAUAAUAUGAUUUAAACUAAAAACCAAGUUCGAUGACAUUAUAUGAUCAAAAGAAACCAUAAAAAAGAUGAGUUGGUAUGAUAUCAGGCACAUUUUAGUACGUUAUAUUAUGAUUUAUCCGGAAAAAAUAACAUAAAAUGUUAUUUUUUAAGCUAUUGCAUAGCUUCUAUCGCGGGCCUUGAGCGCGGGGACCGAAUCCAGAAAUUCCGUAACGAAAAAACCUCACGCUCCACACUCCGACGGGCACGGAGGUGUGGCUUGAAGGCCGUGCAUCGUCUAACGUCAUUUCAGUUCGGCAGUCUUCGACACGGCGUUGUGUGCGUGCGAUUAGACGUAUUGUACGACUCUACGAAACUCGCACGAAUCGAGACGAGCUGCUCCGAAAUCGGACGAAUACAUAAGCAGCUGUUUAUGAGAAAGUAUAUAGGUGUAUAGGUAUUUAUGUACAACAGUGAAUAGCUGUACUUGAAAAAUUUGUGUAUAAAGUGUUUUGAAUAUUAAUGAACAAAGUGCAUUUAUUAUUAAUGAAGAAAGUCACGAAAAAAUAGUAAAAGAUAAUGAAGAAGAAAAGCGUAAAGAGCUACAAAGAAAAAAACUAAUGCACGUCAAAGGGCAUAUUAUCAGCGUCAGAAAGAUUUGAAGAAAAAUGAAGAAAUAAUAAAAACAGUAACAAAAUCAAAUGCUGAACGUCAAAGGAAAUUUCGUCAACAUAAUGCAGAAAAAUCUUACAUGGAUAUAAAAAGACGAAAAUUGUGCAGUGAUGAAGUUUCAAUGAUAAAUAUUCUUGAAUAACCAACAGCUACUGUAAGAUAAUAAAACC